ACUUUAUCUCCUUCCUUGAGCUGCCUAUCAAAGACGAUAAGAAGCCAUUCAAGGUUCAAGAAAUAGCCCACCUCAUCAUAAUUAAUAGUAAUGUCAUAAGUUUUCUCUGUAUCCCAAUCAUAAAGUUUCACUACCACGCAUUUGUUAACGUCAAACUUGUAGCACCAUCUCUCGAUUAUUUCUUCUUGCGCCUCUUUCGUUGGUAAUCUAAUUAUAUACGGUGUUUCUUCCACUUUCACCGUCGUUGUUAUGACCCAUGAUUCGUACUGAGCCAGUCGCAGUUCCGUAGCGAUUUUUUUUAGGCAUUUUCUUGUUUUUUUGUAACGAGAGGGGUAUAUGGCUUGAUGAAUUGAAGCUCAAGGUCUCACAUAUUAUUUUAUAAUGUUGGGUUUGGGAGAUAGAGGUCUGUAUUUG